rnacentral:misc_RNA from 1 species
CUAACCUUUCCCAUUGAUCAAUUAUUAUAUGUGCUCUUGAUACACAUACAAGAAAACAAAAAAGAAUGAUGAAUUGAAAUCGACCCAUCACAAAGAGAGGUUUUAGAUAGAGUGAUCAAAUGUAAACGAUUUAUAAUUCCUAAGGUUUAAUCAGUAUCCAUAAAUGGCCUGCCAAACUGACCAUUUACACUUCAAUGUAGGGUUGACAUGAUAUGAAAAGAAUGUAAGGAGGCUGGAGAUAACGAAAACCUAUGGUUUAUGAUCCUUGCAUCUUGCCUUUAUUUAUUGCAACUCUUAAUCAUCUUCUCUUUCAGGUGGAAGGCCACACGGCAAAAGCAUUUUCUGCAUAAAAUUGUAACGUUCUCUUCCAAUUGAUUCAUUUUCUGCAAUGGCAAAAUACGCCAACAUUGGAUAGUGCCCAACAUAGGACGCAUAGCUAUCGCGCUGAAUGUUUACCGCCCACUCAAAUCUAGUCAAAUCGGCAUGUCCUGUUCCAACAUAUUUAGCUUGUAAGUGCUCAAGCUGGGAGUUGAUGUUGAACCUGUCACUAGCCUGCAUUUUUUUUUUUGUACAGUGAG